rnacentral:Y_RNA from 1 species
GGCUGGUCCAAGUGCAGUGGUGUUUACAACUCAUCAAUCACAACCAACUACAGAUUUUUCUGUUCCUUCUCUAUUACCACUGCUUCACUGACCAGUCUUUA